rnacentral:rRNA from 1 species
UACGUAGGGGGCAAGCGUUGUCCGGAUUUAUUGGGCGUAAAGCGCUCGCAGGUGGUUCGUCGCGUCGUGCGUGAAAGACCCCGGCUCAACUGGGGGGAGGUCGUGCGAUACGGGCGAACUGGAGGCCAGUAGGGGGAUGCGGAAUUCCGGGUGUAGUGGUGGAAUGCGUAGAGAUCCGGAGGACACCAGCGGCGAAGGCGGCAUCCUGGACUGGUCCUGACACUCAUGAGCGAAAGGCGUGGGGAGCGAGUCCGG